rnacentral:rRNA from 1 species
UACGUAGGGGGCGAGCGUUUGUCCGGAAUUAUUGGGCGUAAAGGGCGCGCAGGCGGUUCUUUAAGUCCGGCGUAUAAGCGCGGGCCUCAACCCCGUAGAUGCGCCGGAAACUGGGGGACUUGAGUGCGGGAGAGGAAGGCGGAAUUCCCGGUGUAGCGGUGAAAUGCGUAGAGAUCGGGAGGAACACCAGUGGCGAAGGCGGCCUUCUGGACCGUAACUGACGCUGAGGC